rnacentral:rRNA from 1 species
GACGAACGCUGGCGGCGUGCCUAAUACAUGCAAGUAGAACGCUGAAGAGAGGAGCUUGCUCUUCUUGGAUGAGUUGCGAACGGGUGAGUAACGCGUAGGUAACCUGCCUGGUAGCGGGGGAUAACUAUUGGAAACGAUAGCUAAUACCGCAUGAAAUUGCUUAUCGCAUGAUAAUUAAUUGAAAGAUGCAAUCGCAUCACUACCAGAUGGACCUGCGUUGUAUUAGCUAGUUGGUGAGGUAACGGCUCACCAGGCGACGAUACAUAGCCGACCUGAGAGGGUGAUCGGCCACACUGGGACUGAGACACGGCCCAGACUCCUACGGGAGGCAGCAGUAGGGAAUCUUCGGCAAUGGGGGGAACCCUGACCGAGCAACGCCGCGUGAGUGAAGAAGGUUUUCGGAUCGUAAAGCUCUGUUGUAAGAGAAGAACGGGUGUGAGAGUGGAAAGUUCACACUGUGACGGUAUCUUACCAGAAAGG